CCGUAGUGACCUGCGGAGGAUCAUUACUGAGUGAGGGCCCUCUGGGUCCAACCUCCCACCCGUGUUUAUUGUACCUUGUUGCUUCGGUGCGCCCGCCUCACGGCCGCCGGGGGGCUUCUGCCCCCGGGUCCGCGCGCACCGGAGACACUAUUGAACUCUGUCUGAAGAUUGCAGUCUGAGCAUAAACUAAAUAAGUUAAAACUUUCAACAACGGAUCUCUUGGUUCCGGCAUCGAUGAAGAACGCAGCGAAAUGCGAUAACUAAUGUGAAUUGCAGAAUUCAGUGAAUCAUCGAGUCUUUGAACGCACAUUGCGCCCCCUGGUAUUCCGGGGGGCAUGCCUGUCCGAGCGUCAUUGCUGCCCUCAAGCACGGCUUGUGUGUUGGGCUCCGUCCCCCCGGGGACGGGUCCGAAAGGCAGCGGCGGCACCGAGUCCGGUCCUCGAGCGUAUGGGGCUUUGUCACCCGCUCUGUAGGCCCGGCCGGCGCCAGCCGACAACCAAUCAUCCUUUUUCAGGUUGACCUCG
rnacentral:rRNA from 1 species